UUAAAAUUUAAUAUAGAAUAUAGAUAGUAUGAAGAACGAAUAAUUGUAAUAAUAUUUUGCAUAUUAUUGUAUUGUAAUAUCGUUAUUAAAAACAUAUUUGAAAUAUAUUGUAUUUCUUUAGUAAUUAAAUUAAAAUGUGUCAUUUCCGGUCGCGACGUUGCAAUGGAACUGGAACGGCAAUGUCCGCGACAAUGCAUUGUUCCGUUCCGGCGAACCAUGUAUGUAAGUCUCAGAAUAACUCCCCAUUUUUCCACUCAUAAAAUUUGUUUUCCUAUUCUCUUUAUAUUUCUUCGCCGUUGUCAACGUUGGCUGCAAUUUUAAUACUACAUAAUCGCAAUGAAGAAAUGGUUAGUGAUCUUUCAGUUUUAGAAUUCAUUUUGCGUGCUCUGAAUUCCUAAAUCGAUCAAUGUUUAGAUUUUUGUUUUUGGGUUUUAUGAAAGUUACCCUUUAAUAAUAGGUUUGGAAUAUAUUUUUUUCUUUAUUUUGUUGAAAUUUCAUUUUAACAACGAUGUUUAUCAACAGUCAGUCUCACAUGCUAUAAUUAAAAAAGUAGAUGUAUAAUUCUUCAAAUUUCCGUGGAGUGUUGUAUGAAAACUGUUAAUUAUUAGUUUUGUUUAGUACACUUCUUAGACAACUUUUUAGCAAUUUUAUUUUUUUAAAUGUUCAUGAUAUUUAGGGAAUCAACUGUGACAUGUGGGGAAUCAAUUGAUGAGUAGUUAUUUGUUCUUUCUAUAAGAAAAGGAAUCGAAAUGUUUGAAGUUGUUGCUAUUUUAUUUGGUGUCACUGUAACAUAUGUUUUUCGUACACCAUGGUCAUAUACUCAUUAUUUUCAGCAAAAAAAAAAAAGAAGUUUUACUAUUUUCUCUAAUAUCUGAUGAUAUAUACAAUAAUCAGAAAAUAAGAAAUCUCACAACAAGUAUAUUAAUAUUGUUUUUCUCUGUUUUUUCACAGGUUUACCUGGUGAUGAGAAUGUCUUUUUGCUUCUUUUAACAGUUUUGUUUAGAGUUGUAUUAGUUUUGUAUUUGGAGGUGUUUUAUGAAGAUUGCUGCUAUCUUGAGAAUUUGGGAUGGCAAAAAAGAAAUCAAAAGCAAGAAGAUUCAUCUCUAGACUGCUCCAUUACAGAAACGAUAAUUGGUGCAUUUAGUUGGGUGCUCACAUGAAUUAGUUGCUGAUGAAUCGAACAUGAGGACGAGACAACAUGGUAUUAAUAUUAUACUAUAAUGAUUAAUAACAAAUGUUUUCUGAUUGGCAAUGUAGUUUUCUUUUCUCCACCCCUCUAAGAUUACUACAUUUCCACAUUUUUCUUUGUUAUGUAUAUCUAUUUGCUCUAUCUGUUGAUAUUAGCAAUUCAUUUUGUAUAUUGAUGUUUUUGCUAUAGUCAUGUAUUAAAUUG
rnacentral:lncRNA from 1 species